rnacentral:lncRNA from 1 species
CCUCCCCUCCCCUCCUUUCUCCCCCUUCCUCCUCUUCCUCCUCCUCCUCUUGCUCCUCCCGGGCAGGGAAACCCAGCCCCGCGCUCGUCUUUGGGGCCACCGGUCGCCCCCGCCUCCGGGACCUGCGGGGAGGGCCCGCACGAGAUGGAGACGAGAGAUCUGGACUUCUGAACAUCUACCAGAAAAGAUAAAAUGUGCAAGCCCUUCAGAACGCUGGGGAGGUUGGGCUGAACUGCAGUGGGAGAGGAGAAGAGAUGCUGGCGUGAAGGGAACCUGGUGCUUCCCUGUGUGGCCCCUGACAACGUGGCA